rfam:Loxodonta africana unplaced genomic scaffold scaffold_71, whole genome shotgun sequence.
GCCCUGGUGGUGCAAAGGUUAAGCGCUUGGCUACUAACCCAAAGGUUGGUGGUUCAAACCCACCCAGGGGCU